GUCAGAUUCUAGUCCGUCUGUGCUGGGCUCAGGACAUAGAAAAGGAGAUGAAGGAAGAGCCAUGAGUUCAAGAUGCUGCCUGCCAGCCUCAGCACCCAGGGUAUGCAAUGUCCUGGAUUAUAUUUAGAAAACUUUCAUGGGCAGAACUCCCCAGGGAAGAGUCCACAGGCCAGUGAGGAGGUUUCUGAGGUCAACUAAACACCAGGGUUUUUGGUUUUCUUUUUUAUAUUUUCUAUUUUUGUAACAUUUUUGUUCUAUUUCUGUAGCAUUUUGUAUUUAUUUUAUUUUAUUUUUAUAUGUCAAUUUGUACAUAGUUAUUUUUUAUAUUUGUUUGAUAUUCGUUUGAUAAUGGUGUGUUAUUCUUUCUUUGGGAGGGUUGGGCUUGUUUGACUACUCCUGCCUCAGUGGUGGGAAUGCUGUGCCUGGGGAUGGGACCGCGGGUUGGCAUUACAUUACUCGAAACACUUGCAAAAAAUUGCAGGGUGGAGAGUUGCUAGCCCUUUUUGCUAGCAUUUGUUAAGUGCUAGCUAGGGUGCGGUCCAGUCACAUAUGUCUUCUAAGAAAGAGACAUUCCCUUUAGCCUUUAGCAAGUCUUUAUUAAGUCUUUAAAGUGCUGAGCGGGGUGGGGGGUUAAAAAACAGCUUCUUUGCAGGCAGACUGAUAUGGGAGGUGCGAUGCAAAAAGUUUUUUUUUUCCAAUGCUUUCUUUGCAAUGCACACUGUUUUCUAAAAAAGAAAAAUCCUGAAGACCGCUCCCCCUCGCACUUCAACCUGCUCCCCACCCUGGAUACAGCCUGGUCAUUUCAAGUUUACAGGCAGCUGUUUGCAGGGGAAAUAGUCAGAGUUGGGUUUUCACCUCCAGAAAAGGAGCAGGAGCCGAGCAGAAGCUUGAGGGGGUAUCUGGUCAUGUCUGGACAGUUCCUCUUUGUAUAACUUCCUCAUAGCAUAACUGCUCAUGCUGCAUGCAGAGAGCAUUCUGUAAGCAUUGCAAUAGCUGGCCUGCUUGUCCUAGGCCUUGACAUAUUCUCUUUUUUCCUGCUCACCUGGCCUUUUUGGUCAUACAGUGCAUUUUUGGUAUUUGCACAUCCAGAGGUACGCUAUCUCUGAAUGCAUAGACACAGGCAUGUGGCUGAUUAUCCAGACACUUUUCAUCAGAUGGCUAUCCCCGGACAUAUUAUUGAGAAGUGCCUGUGAGGGGAGGCCAACCAAUAUGACAUAUGGACCCUGUUUGUAUCCAGCCGGGGAAGCAAUGGCACUCACUCCCC